rnacentral:rRNA from 1 species
GGCUCAGGAUGAACGCUAGCGUACAGGCUUAACACAUGCAAGUCGAGGGGAAACGAUAUUGGAAGCUUGCUUCCGAUAGGCGUCGACCGGCGCACGGGUGAGUAACGCGUAUCCAACCUGCCCAUCACUUGGGAAUAACCUUGCGAAAGUAAGACUAAUGCCCAAUGACAUUUAUAGAAGGCAUCUGAAAUGAAUUAAAGAUUUAUCGGUGAUGGAUGGGGAUGCGUCUGAUUAGCUUGUUGGCGGGGUAACGGCCCACCAAGGCGACGAUCAGUAGGGGGUUCUGAGAGGAAGGUCCCCCACAUUGGAACUGAGACACGGUCCAAACUCCUACGGGAGGCAGCAGUGAGGAAUAUUGGUCAAUGGGCGAGAGCCUGAACCAGCCAAGUAGCGUGCAGGAAGACGGCCCUAUGGGUUGUAAACUGCUUUUAUAGGGGAAUAAAGUGAGCCACGUGUGGUUUAUUGCAUGUACCCUAUGAAUAAGGACCGGCUAAUUCCGUG